rnacentral:rRNA from 1 species
AACUUGGUCAUUUAGAGGAAGUAAAAGUCGUAACAAGGUUUCCGUAGGUGAACCUGCGGAAGGAUCAUUAAUGAAACUUCAAGUCGGCUGUUCUGUGCUGGUGGCAACACAUGUGCACGUUCAGUCGCAAUCCACACACCCUGUGCACUUUGACUCUGAGCAUCGCCGGUACAUGGCAGAAGGUUUAAGGCUAAGGUCUGAACCCGGUGCUCGAGUACUUUACACACUCUGAAUGUAAUGGAAUGUCACUGUACACUGUACAACUACAAACAACUUUCAACAACGGAUCUCUUGGCUCUCGCAUCGAUGAAGAACGCAGCGAAAUGCGAUAAGUAAUGUGAAUUGCAGAAUUCAGUGAAUCAUCGAAUCUUUGAACGCACCUUGCACCCUUUGGUAUUCCGAAGGGUACACCCGUUUGAGUGUCAUUGCAACCUCACUUCAACAACUUUAUUGAUGUUGAAUGUGGACUUGGAUGUUGUCGUGUUCAACGACUCGUCUUAAAUGCCUGAGUGUACCCUGCUUUGCAGCGUAUCAGUGUGAUAAACAUCUUCACUGUUAAGUCCUUUGGACACGCUUGUGUGGUGUGGGCUCUAUGCUUCCAACCGUCUCUGGACAAUCUCUGACAAUUUGACCUCAAAUCGGGUGGGACUACCCGCUGAACUUAAGCAUAUCAAUAAGCGGAGGAAAAGAAACUAACAAGGAUUCCCCUAGUAAC